CUCCCAACAAUGGUAUUUCUCUGACUUUAGAAAGUCAGUCUGAAGCCUGGGUAGCUUUAUCUUCAGUGGACUUUGCUACAUAUUAUUUUGAAGAAAGGAGAGAAAAUUCCGUGAGAAGAAUACUCCAGUCUGCUCAGAAACAUGACCAGGACUGUGGAGCAGGUAGUGGCAGGAACAAUGCCGAAGGGCUCUCUUCCAUGGGACUCACUGUCCUUACCAACGUGCCUGCAGAGAAUUCCCCACAAGACGAUGGAUCUUUCAGAAAAACUCUCAGGUCAAAAAGGAACUUGAAAGAGAAAAUAGAAAAAGCAGGUACUCCGACUUUCAUUUUCUUUUCCUCAGUUAUGAUGUU